GGAGUCUGGUCCGUGUCUCAGUACCAGUGUGGGGGGCCACCCUCUCAGGCCCCCUACCCAUCGUAGGAACGGUGGGCCGUUACCCCGCCGUCUUCCUAAUGGGACGCAUGCCCAUCCGCAUCCGCCGAAGCUAUCCAUCAAAGGCCAUGCGGCCCCAAAUGACCACGGGGUAUUAAUCCGCCUUUCGGCGGGCUGUCCCCCGGAUGCGGGCAGGUUGCAUACGCGUUACGCACCCGUGCGCCGGUCGCCGCCAGGGUAUUGCUACCCCGCGCUGCCCCUCGACUUGCAUGUGUUAGGCCUGCCGCUAGCGUUCAUC
rnacentral:rRNA from 1 species